rnacentral:lncRNA from 1 species
GCCGGUUGCUUGCUCGGUUUCCUGCAGCCUGUCCUGCCACCUUCUUCUUCAUCUCUGGAUCGAUGGAGACGAUGAUGACACAUGCGAGAGGACAGAGACACUUCUGCUAUCUACACUAGAUCUCUGGAUGAUGCAAGGCACAGGAGUGCCCUGGAGAAGUUUUCUUUUUCUUUUCUUAUUUGGCCUUUUGGGGCCAGACAUGGUGCUUGCUUGUGUGUGCUUGUUAAGGCUAGCUAGCUAGUUAUAUAGGAUGAUGAUGCAGGAUCCUAGCUAGGAUCGGAAAGGGCUUGGCUUUUGUUAUUGGAUUUCUAUUUAUGUUUUGUUGCUCUCCUACAUAUUUGAAUCUCUGUUGACGGUCCGUUUGCAGUGAUUUGUUCUCAGUUUUUUUUUCUUUCUAGAAUACAUAUUGUUCUCAGGUUUCAAAAUAAGUAAUGUGGAAUUAAAAUGCAUUUUUUGUUGCUACUUAAUUACUAGUGCGUUUUGUGCUAUCGCUGGUUUCUUUUUGUUAAAUUUGUCAGAAAAUGGGGGCUUCCUUUCCCCUAGUCUUUGUGAACACAUUAUUUCAGUUUAUAAUACAACCCUUUCCUACGAAAAAAAUAUUUAUUACGUGCUGAAAAGCUCGACUAAAAGAAGGGAAACGGACGUCACAUCCUCGCAAGACGAAGAACACAGUAUAGCGCUCUAUGGAAUGGUCGAGCCUUCAAAAGCCCAUCUAUUGCCUUUUGCUUCGUACCGAUCAAUGGACUAAGUUGACGUAUCACUGGGCUAUAAACUCACCCGGGACAAGGGCCCAUAUACAGAAUGCACCUCUCCUAAAAAAUAAAAUAUUGCACAUAUGCUGGCUAUGUUAACUAAAAAAAUGCUGAGCUAUGUCACGAUUGGUACAAACGGUCUGCAUCAGGGAGAUUUUACACGCCACGAGCCUUGUCAGCCCAUUUUCGUACAUCGGUCAUGCCCUCCCGUUCACGUCUCACCCGCCCCAUUUUCCCCAUUUUGCUUGGGCGAUAAUAAGCCAGCUCCGUACAACUCCAUAUCUGUUUGGCUCAACUCAACUUGAUUUCAAUUCGUUAAUAUGACAAGCAACCUUGACACCGCAAAGAAAAACUAAGGGUGUGUUUGGUGGUCCAGGUCAACCCAGAUUCAAUCUCCCGCUUGAGAUAUGAUGACCUCGUACAAACUGGUCUGAGAUUUUUUGUGAUGUUUGAUAGCCCGUAUCUGUUUAGAGAAGUUGGACUAAUACUUUGUUUGGUAGCAUGAUGGGUUGAGAUUGGAGCAGUUCAAACGUUUACACAAAGGCCCCUAAACAAAAACAAAAAAAAAGCAAUCGGGUCCAAUCUUCUCCACUGUGCUGGGAGCACCUUAUCGGCGUUGGCGGGCCGUGGGGCACCGGCGGUGGAGCGAAGCGGUGGG